rnacentral:lncRNA from 1 species
ACACUCGAAUCUCAGUCUCCGUAGAGAACUCAACACACUAUCGUAUCGCAAUAUGAACACCACUGGUUCGACAAGAAUUCUAAGGAAAUGACAGAACACUUGUUCUCACAACUUCACCAUCACAGUCAUACACAUAUCACCUGCAUAUACAAAGUCAACCAAAUUCAUUGACCAACAAUUAAUUAAAAAUACUCAAAUAAUUAAAUCAAUCAAUUUUUCACAAUAAAAAUAAUUUAAUUAUUUUCCUACUUGCGCACCCCCGUGAAAUUAUUUUCACACUCCUAUCCACUAGAACCAAUAUUUCUAAUGCACCCCCACUAUUACUAAUUCACAACAUAAUAGAAAAAAAUAUAAUUCUUUAAAGUACCCCUUAAACUUCUAAAUACACUCCCUUUCGUAAACCUACCAACUCAAGUGGUCCCUACAACUAUUUUUAACUUUAGAAACACACUUUAAUUUUCUCUCACCAAGUGGACCCCACUUAAAAUAUUCAUUUUUCACUAAAAAUUAUCUUUCUCUCUCCUACUCUCCACAUUUACGUAACCAAACUUUCUCUCCCUUCUCUCUUUUGCUUUUAUUUCCCAUACACAAAAUUUCAUUCACUCAUCUUUUCUCACAUGGACCCCACCUCCCACUUUAUUUGACUUUUCAAACUAACCCAUUCCUUCCUCUCACCAAAGUCACGUAACCCCUCCCUAAACUCUCUUUUUUUUCUCUCUUUUUAUUUCUUCACUCUCCCAACCUUAUUUACGUACGCACAGACACACUUAUAUACUACAAUUCUUUUCACUCUUUUCUCUCCUCCAUUCACGGUCCCACACAAUAUCCCACACACUUUUAUUAUUUUUUUUUCUCUCACACUCUCUACCUUUGCGUAUCAACACUACAACACCCAUAUUUAUAAAUUUUGACUUUUCAACCCCAAAACUUCUCUCAUUCUCCUCUCCCAUUUCACGUCAAAAACAAACACCCAUCCUCCUUCCUCUUUUCACGUCAACCAUGCAACAUCUUCACUGACCAUCUCUUUCAUUCUCUUUUUUUUUUCUCUUCAACCCUUAUUUAACUUAUCCUUCUUUGCUUUCAAAGACCCUUCAAGCUUCUCUCUUCACGGUUGUUGCUCCUCUUGCAGCCCCUUUCUUUUUCUUUGCCAAUUUCAUGUUCUUCCUUUAUGAUCUUAUUAUUCCCAUGCAACCAAGCUUCUUCUUUCUUCACCAUUUCAUCAACCCCAUAUACCCCAUCUCACAAAAAACAUCACUUUCACUCCUCUUAUACUCAUAACUCACUCUUUUCUCUUCCAACAAUGGGAGAGAACUCUCAAU